CGGCUUUGAUGGACAGGUGUCGCUUCAACCAAGAGUGACUAUGCAUAUGGAUUAUUGUAAAACCUGCAGUGUACUACUGGCUUUCAAUCCCAUCUCUUCCCAAGAUACCCUAGUUCCCGUGCCUAAAGCACACCAUGAUUAAAGACAGAACAAUCGUGAUGACGGCACUCCUCCGCGACCCAACGCCCCACUCUUCUCAGAUUGUCUUUUCCCCUCACCGUACCAGAGUUCCCCGUCACCGGCGACGGAGCUCCCAAAUUAAAAAUGAAACCGUCAAUCCCUUUGUUUUCCUCCCUAGGUUCCGAAUCUCCAAUACAAACGCCAUAAUUAUCAACCAAGUAAUUCGAUCGGAUGCGUACCUACAAUAACCCUAGAUGGACUUCCUAAAAUUCAGCAACAAUCGUCAAGAAUCGGAGCCUCUGAAUGGGCUUUGAUUCACCGUGAACAACUCUAUGUUAUUAUAGGAUACAUCGAAGCAAAGGGAGGAAUCGUUUACUUACUUUGCCGGAGAAUAUGAUUCGAGUGACGACGACGGUGAAAACGAUAUCGUGUUGGCUGCUUGGGUACAAUUUUGGCAUAGGCUUGACAAAUUUGUAGCUUUUGCGGAUCAUCUCAUCCUCCUGGUUCAAUUCGUACCAUCUUGAGUGAUUAAAUUCCUAGCUUGCAACCAAAUCUUCACCAGCAGCAGCUCUGGAUCCAUUGCCUGGGGUUGACCCUGUUAUCCUGUCGUUCAUGCUGAUAAAUGAGACUAUGUCACCGACAACUGCCCCUAAAGCUGCAGGGGUCAAUGAACUCACUUGUCGCUCUAAUUAGAUCAACCUUUGAUUUUCCUGAAGGGGCGCUAAUUCAUUACCAUGAGCACCAUCUGGACCGGUGAACUCUGCCAGUAAAGGAGAGGUUGAUAUUCCCGGAGUUCCGAUGGCAAGUGAUUGAGUAGGUGCUGAUGCACCCGCAUCCCCAACUUGUUGGUGUCCAACAUCUGAAAUUGAUGAAAUACCAAAAAUGAGCUUUUUAAAAAUCUCCUGGCAUAGGAGAUGGAGCUAAGGGAGGUGAAGGAGUGGGGACUACAAAUGGGCAUAUGACAUGAAAUGUACGUAACGGAACCCAUCCAAUGAUUGGCAAAAAGGUGCAACAGUGAAACCCAACAGUUUAGUGAUCGCAUCCAAGAGGUAAUCUCGAGUACAAGCCUUGACAAUCUUAGAGAGGAAAUACAUUAUCAGCAGGAUUUCCACUCUAAUCACUGAGUGUUUAGAGGAAUGUUACAAUAUGUAUGGAUAGCUCCUUCUACGUCAAAACGAGCUUCUGAAAUCGAGUUAUCUCCCUUUUGAUAGCACCUUCUUUGAGAGAGGAAUAAAUUUGCAUUUGGGCUUUAUAUCCAACUGAUAGACUGUCUAGAUCCUUGACUACCCUGACAGAAGAUUGGAUGGUCCAUCAUAUUCCUUAUUCACCUAGGAAACAUCAACUCGCUAAGCAGGAUGCCGGCUAUCGACAUUCUUCUCAUCCGUCUUUAGGAAUUCCUGAAUAGGAAAUGAAUCUAUGCGCUUCUUUCUAGCUUCUUUCUAGCCGGGGCGCUUACGCGGUGACAGAGCUGUGGUAUUCAUCAUUUAUGGUAAUGCUGAUGCCUUCCUUGGAGACUUGGAGACUUGCACAUGCACACGAUUUUCACGACAUAAGAAGGAGAGGAACUAGUGUACGAGACAACAAUAUUAGCAGUAGCUUUAUUUCUGUAAACCCCAUCUCACCAGCCACUCAUUCUUUAUACCGUACUGUACAAAGUCUUAAAAAUAAUAUGUACAUGAUGUAAUAUGUAGUUUUUUGGAUCUUGUGGUUUUGAAUAUUGUAUUGAUUCCUUUUUUGUCAUUUGGAAAUAGUAAUGCCUCGUGUUUGGUUCUAUAUUUAGAAUGAUUGUAGUUGGAAUUGGGAAUUUACUGCUAGAAUGUAGUGAAAAGAAUCUAUUCAAUGUAUUGUGUAUGGAAUUGAUUGGUGAAUAAAUAUUGUAUGGUUCAUGAUGGUAA